GACAGAGGUGCCAAGCGUUAGGCGGAAUCACUGGGCUUAAAGCGUGUGUAGGCGGAUUCCUAAGUACCUUGUGAAAUCCCACGGCUCAACCGUGGAACUGCUCGGUAUACUGGGUAUCUUGAGCCACUUAGGGGCGACCGGAACAAAUGGUGGAGCGGUGAAAUGCGUAGAGAUCGGAAAGAACACCAACGGCGAAAGCACUCUGCUGGGCCGACACUGACACUGAGAGACGAAAGCUAGGGGAGCGAAUGGG
rnacentral:rRNA from 1 species